rnacentral:sRNA from 1 species
AAGAGGGGAGUGUGUUAGCUUGUGCCUUGUCUGAGAGCUAAGUCAGGGAAAAUUGGUAAUUGUGAUGACCAUGAUGAUGGAUUCAGUGGCCCUUCCCUAGACUUUACUGCUAGAGCUGACCAGUAUGGGGUAGGGAGAACAUGUGCACAGUCAGGACAGCAUAGCGCUGUGGUGCCCUUGGAGGAGACAUUUUAAGAAAAUAGAAAACCAAAAAUCUUGACAUUGCUAGACAUCUCUAUGUCACUGUAUGUCUCUGAGUUUCAGCGGAUGGGCAUAGUGGCUUGCUCCUAGAGUGGGAGGUAACAGAUGCACCCCGGGACUGGACACAAACUCUGAAGAUUUUGAAGAAGUCCAGACAUGUGCUGAAUCUGGAGCUUCCUGUCCAGUGUGAUGUGAAGAGAAGUGUAGUCAAGUUGGAAGGCUACAAGAAGUAAAUCCCAAACCGAUAAGAAGACCAGCGUUCACUUACGGCAGAGGUUUGGCUUUCUCCACGAGACACAGACUCCGGCUGCGUUGCACGCCUCGGCAUACAUUGCCACAGCAGUACAGAAGCCAAGCUGUUUGCAAAUUCCAGUGCUCCAGCAGCUACUGAAGAGUGCCUGGUUGUGAAGUCAUCCUUAAGAUCGCCAUUGUUAUUUCC